rnacentral:rRNA from 1 species
UGGCGGACGGGUGAGUAACGCGUGGGUAACCUGCCUCACACUGGGGGACAACAGUUAGAAAUGACUGCUAAUACCGCAUAAGCGCACAGGACCGCAUGGUCCGGUGUGAAAAACUCCGGUGGUGUGAGAUGGACCCGCGUUUGAUUAGCUAGUUGGUGGGGUAACGGCCUACCAAGGCGACGAUCAAUAGCCGACCUGAGAGGGUGACCGGCCACAUUGGGACUGAGACACGGCCCGA